GGUGGCACAAUGGGUCAGUACAUCUAGCAGUUAACCAGAAGGUUGGUGGUUUGAGCCCACCCAGGGACA
rnacentral:tRNA from 1 species